rnacentral:rRNA from 1 species
AUAGAUACCCGGGUAGUCCACGCCGUAAACGGUGGGCACUAGGUGUGGGCGACAUUCCACGUCGUCCGUGCCGCAGCUAACGCAUUAAGUGCCCCGCCUGGGGAGUACGGCCGCAAGGCUAAAACUCAAAGGAAUUGACGGGGGCCCGCACAAGCGGCGGAGCAUGUGGCUUAAUUCGACGCAACGCGAAGAACCUUACCAAGGCUUGACAUACACCGGAAACGUCCAGAGAUGGGCGCCCCCUUGUGGUCGGUGUACAGGUGGUGCAUGGCUGUCGUCAGCUCGUGUCGUGAAAUGUUGGGUUAAGUCCCGCAACGAGCGCAACCCUUGUCCCGUGUUGCCAGCAGGCCCUUGUGGUGCUGGGGACUCACGGGAGACCGCCGGGGUCAACUCGGAGGAAGGUGGGGACGACGUCAAGUCAUCAUGCCCCGUUAUGUCUUGGGCUGCACACGUGCUACAAUGGCCGGUACAAUGAGCUGCGAUACCGCGAGGUGGAGCGAAUCUCAAAAAGCCGGUCUCAGUUCGGAUUGGGGUCUGCAACUCCG